rnacentral:rRNA from 2 species
CAGCCGCCGCGGUAAAACCAGCACCUCGAGUGGUCAGGAGGUUUAUUGGGCCUAAAGCAUCCGUAGCCGGUUGCAUAAGUUUUCGGUUAAAUCUAUGCGCUCAACGUAUAGGCCGCCGAAAAUACUGUGCAGCUAGGGAGUGGGAGAGGUACACGGUACUCAAUAGGAAGGGGUAAAAUCCUUUGAUCUAUUGAUGGCCACCUGUGGCGAAGGCGGUGUACCAGAACACGUUCGACGGUGAGGGAUGAAAGCUGGGGGAGCAAACCGGAUUAGAUACCCGGGUAGUCCCAGCUGUAAACGAUGCAGACUCGGUGAUGCAUUGGCUUGUGGCCAAUGCAGUGCCGCAGGGAAGCCGUUAAGUCUGCCGCCUGGGAAGUACGUACGCAAGUAUGAAACUUAAAGGAAUUGGCGGGGGAGCAC